CCUGUUGAGCUUGACUCU
rnacentral:snRNA from 1 species